CCUGGCUCAGGAUGAACGCUAGCUACAGGCUUAACACAUGCAAGUCGAGGGGCAGCAUGGUCUUAGCUUGCUAAGGCCGAUGGCGACCGGCGCACGGGUGAGUAACACGUAUCCAACCUGCCGUCUACUCUUGGACAGCCUUCUGAAAGGAAGAUUAAUACAAGAUGGCAUCAUGAGUCCGCAUGUUCACAUGAUUAAAGGUAUUCCGGUAGACGAUGGGGAUGCGUUCCAUUAGAUAGUAGGCGGGGUAACGGCCCACCUAGUCUUCGAUGGAUAGGGGUUCUGAGAGGAAGGUCCCCCACAUUGGAACUGAGACACGGUCCAAACUCCUACGGGAGGCAGCAGUGAGGAAUAUUGGUCAAUGGGCGAGAGCCUGAACCAGCCAAGUAGCGUGAAGGAUGACUGCCCUAUGGGUUGUAAACUUCUUUUAUAAAGGAAUAAAGUCGGGUAUGGAUACCCGUUUGCAUGUACUUUAUGAAUAAGGAUCGGCUAACUCCGUGCCAGCAGCCGCGGUAAUACGGAGGAUCCGAGCGUUAUCCGGAUUUAUUGGGUUUAAAGGGAGCGUAGAUGGAUGUUUAAGUCAGUUGUGAAAGUUUGCGGCUCAACCGUAAAAUUGCAGUUGAUACUGGAUAUCUUGAGUGCAGUUGAGGCAGGCGGAAUUCGUGGUGUAGCGGUGAAAUGCUUAGAUAUCACGAAGAACUCCGAUUGCGAAGGCAGCCUGCUAAGCUGCAACUGACAUUGAGGCUCGAAAGUGUGGGUAUCAAACAGGAUUAGAUACCCUGGUAGUCCACACGGUAAACGAUGAAUACUCGCUGUUUGCGAUAUACGGCAAGCGGCCAAGCGAAAGCGUUAAGUAUUCCACCUGGGGAGUACGCCGGCAACGGUGAAACUCAAAGGAAUUGACGGGGGCCCGCACAAGCGGAGGAACAUGUGGUUUAAUUCGAUGAUACGCGAGGAACCUUACCCGGGCUUAAAUUGCAGAUGAAUUACGGUGAAAGCCGUAAGCCGCAAGGCAUCUGUGAAGGUGCUGCAUGGUUGUCGUCAGCUCGUGCCGUGAGGUGUCGGCUUAAGUGCCAUAACGAGCGCAACCCUUGUUGUCAGUUACUAACAGGUUCCGCUGAGGACUCUGACAAGACUGCCAUCGUAAGAUGUGAGGAAGGUGGGGAUGACGUCAAAUCAGCACGGCCCUUACGUCCGGGGCUACACACGUGUUACAAUGGGGGGUACAGAGGGCCGCUACCACGCGAGUGGAUGCCAAUCCCCAAAACCUCUCUCAGUUCGGACUGGAGUCUGCAACCCGACUCCACGAAGCUGGAUUCGCUAGUAAUCGCGCAUCAGCCACGGCGCGGUGAAUACGUUCCCGGGCCUUGCACACA
rnacentral:rRNA from 1 species